rnacentral:rRNA from 1 species
GACGAACGCUGGCGGCGUGCUUAACACAUGCAAGUCGAACGGAAAGGCCCUGCUUUUGUGGGGUGCUCGAGUGGCGAACGGGUGAGUAACACGUGAGUAACCUGCCCUUGACUUUGGGAUAACUUCAGGAAACUGGGGCUAAUAUCGGAUAGGAGCUCCUGAUGCAUGGGGGGGGAUGGAAAGUUUCGGCGGUUGGGGAUGUACUCGCGGCGCAUUAGCUUGUUGGUGGGGUAGUGGCGUACCAAGGUUACGACGGGUAGCCGACCUGAGAGGGUGAUCGGCCACACUGGAAAUGAGACACGGUCCAGACUCCUACGGGAGGCAGCAGUAGGGAAUCUUCCGCAAUGGGCGAAAGCUUGACGGAGCAACGCCGCGUGAGUGAUGAAGGUCUUCGGAUCGUAAAACUCUGUUAUUAGGGAAGAACAAAUGUGUAAGGAACUAUGCACGUCUUGACGGUACCUAAUCAGAAAGCCACGGCUAACUACGUG